UAUCUUCAGGGCAGGGUGAGAUUCCCGACCGGCGGUAAAGUCCGCGAGCCGAAAGGCAGACCCGGCGCGAUUCCGGGACCGACAGUACACAGUCUGGAUGAGAGAAGAU
rnacentral:ncRNA from 1 species